GGGCGGCUGGCCUAAUGGUAAGGCGUCUGAUUUCGGUUGAGACAGUGUCUCAGUGUUUCUCAGAAAAUUGCAGGUUCGAUCCCUGCGUCGCUCA
rnacentral:tRNA from 2 species